rnacentral:rRNA from 1 species
UCAUGUCUGGCGGCGGCUAUCAUGCAGUCGACGCUUCUUUUCCCACCGGAGCUUGCUCCACCGGGAAAAGAGGAGUGGCGAACGGGUGAGUAACACGUGGGUAACCUGCCCAUCAGAAGGGGAUAACACUUGGAAACAGGUGCUAAUACCGUAUAACAAUCGAAACCGCAUGGUUUCGUUUUGAAAGGCGCUUUACGGUGCCGCUGAUGGAUGGACCCGCGGUGCAUUAGCUAGUUGGUGAGGUAACGGCUCACCAAGGCCACGAUGCAUAGCCGACCUGAGAGGGUGAUCGGCCACAUUGGGACUGAGACACGGCCCAAACUCCUACGGGAGGCAGCAGUAGGGAAUCUUCGGCAAUGGACGAAAGUCUGACCGAGCAACGCCGCGUGAGUGAAGAAGGUUUUCGGAUCGUAAAACUCUGUUGUUAGAGAAGAACAAGGGUGAGAGUAACUGUUCACCCCUUGACGGUAUCUAACCAGAAAGCCACGGCUAACUACGUGCCAGCAGCCGCGUAAUACGUAGGUGGCAAGCGUUGUCCGGAUUUAUUGGGCGUAAAGCGAGCGCAGGCGGUUUCUUAAGUCUGAUGUGAAAGCCCCCGGCUCAACCGGGGAGGGUCAUUGGAAACUGGGAGACUUGAGUGCAGAAGAGGAGAGUGGAAUUCCAUGUGUAGCGGUGAAAUGCGUAGAUAUAUGGAGGAACACCAGUGGCGAAGGCGGCUCUCUGGUCUGUAACUGACGCUGAGGCUCGAAAGCGUGGGGAGCAAACAGGAUUAGAUACCCUGGUAGUCCACGCCGUAAACGAUGAGUGCUAAGUGUUGGAGGGUUUCCGCCCUUCAGUGCUGCAGCUAACGCAUUAAGCACUCCGCCUGGGGAGUACGACCGCAAGGUUGAAACUCAAAGGAAUUGACGGGGGCCCGCACAAGCGGUGGAGCAUGUGGUUUAAUUCGAAGCAACGCGAAGAACCUUACCAGGUCUUGACAUCCUUUGACCACUCUAGAGAUAGAGCUUCCCCUUCGGGGGCAAAGGACAGGUGGUGCAUGGUGUCUUCAGGUUUCGUGUCGUCAGCUCGUGUCGUGAGAUGUUGGGUUAAGUCCCGCAACGAGCGCAACCCUUAUUGUUAGUUGCCAUCAUUUAGUUGGGCACUCUAGCAAGACUGCCGGUGACAAACCGGAGGAAGGUGGGGAUGACGUCAAAUCAUCAUGCCCCUUAUGACCUGGGCUACACACGUGCUACAAUGGGAAGUACAACGAGUCGCGAAGUCGCGAGGCUAAGCUAAUCUCUUAAAGCUUCUCUCAGUUCGGAUUGUAGGCUGCAACUCGCCUACAUGAAGCCGGAAUCGCUAGUAAUCGCGAUCAGCACCGCCCGGCCAAUC